rnacentral:rRNA from 1 species
AUUGAACGCUGGCGGCAUGCCUUACACAUGCAAGUCGAACGGUAACAGCACUUCGGUGGCUGACGAGUGGCGAACGGGUGAGUAAUACAUCGGAACGUGCCCGAGAGUGGGGGAUAACGCAGCGAAAGCUGUGCUAAUACCGCAUACGAUCUACGGAUGAAAGCAGGGGGACCGCAAGGCCUUGCGCUCAUGGAGCGGCCGAUGGCAGAUUAGGUAGUUGGUGGGAUAAAAGCUUACCAAGCCGACGAUCUGUAGCUGGUCUGAGAGGACGACCAGCCACACUGGGACUGAGACACGGCCCAGACUCCUACGGGAGGCAGCAGUGGGGAAUUUUGGACAAUGGGGGAAACCCUGAUCCAGCCAUGCCGCGUGCAGGAUGAAGGCCUUCGGGUUGUAAACUGCUUUUGUACGGAACGAAAAGGUCUUUUCUAAUAAAGAAGACUCAUGACGGUACCGUAAGAAUAAGCACCGGCUAACUACGUG